AUGAACGCUAGCGACAGGCCUAACACAUGCAAGUCAGGGGCGAGCACAAGGAGCAAUCUGAGGUGGCGACCGGCGCACGGGUGAGUAACACGUAUGCAACCUGCCUGUAAGCGGGGAAUAACCCGUUGAAAGACGGACUAAUACCGCAUAAUACUAAAUUACUGCAUGGUAAUUUAUUUAAACAUUUAUGGCUUACAGAUGGGCAUGCGCAUGAUUAGCUAGUUGGAGAGGUAACGGCUCCCCAAGGCAACGAUCAUUAGGGGUUCUGAGAGGAAGGUCCCCCACACUGGUACUGAGACACGGACCAGACUCCUACGGGAGGCAGCAGUGAGGAAUAUUGGUCAAUGGACGAGAGUCUGAACCAGCCAAGUCGCGUGCAGGAAGAAUGUCCCUAUGGAUUGUAAACUGCUUUUGCAGGGGAAUAAAGUGCAUCACGUGUGAUGUUUUGUAUGUACUCUGCGAAUAAGGAUCGGCUAACUCCGUGCCAGCCGCAGC
rnacentral:rRNA from 1 species